GACGAACGCUGGCGGCGUGCCUAACACAUGCAAGUUGAGCGACGAACCAGGGCUUGCCCUGGGGCAAAGCAGCGAACGGGUGAGUAACACGUGGGUAACCUACCCCGAUAACCGGGACAACCCGAGGAAACUCGGGCUAAUACCGGAUGUGCUCACUGGACUUCGGUUCAGUGCGUAAAGGAAGCUUCGGCCUCCGUAUCGGGAGGGGCCCGCGGCCCAUUAGUUUGUUGGUGAGGUAACGGCUCACCAAGACCGCGAUGGGUAGCUGGUCUGCGAGGACGAUCAGCCACACUGGGACUGAGACACGGCCCAGACUCCUACGGGAGGCAGCAGUGGGGAAUCUUGCGCAAUGCGCGAAAGCGUGACGCAGCAACGCCGCGUGGGGGAAGAAGGCCUUCGGGUUGUAAACCCCUUUCAGGAGGGACGAAGGUUCGGCGGUGAAUAGCCGUCCGGACUGACGGUACCUCCACAAGAAGCCCCGGCUAACUACGUG
rnacentral:rRNA from 1 species